UGCUUGCAUCAUGAUUUACAUUUGAAUGAGUGGCGAACUGGUGAGUAACACGUGGGAAACCUGCCCAGAAGCGGGGGAUAACACCUGGAAACAGAUGCUAAUACCGCAUAACAACUUGGACCGCAUGGUCCGAGUUUGAAAGAUGGCUUCGGCUAUCACUUUUGGAUGGUCCCGCGGCGUAUUAGCUAGAUGGUGGGGUAACGGCUCACCAUGGCAAUGAUACGUAGCCGACCUGAGAGGGUAAUCGGCCACAUUGGGACUGAGACACGGCCCAAACUCCUACGGGAGGCAGCAGUAGGGAAUCUUCCACAAUGGACGAAAGUCUGAUGGAGCAACGCCGCGUGAGUGAAGAAGGGUUUCGGCUCGUAAAACUCUGUUGUUAAAGAAGAACAUAUCUGAGAGUAACUGUUCAGGUAUUGACGGUAUUUAACCAGAAAGCCACGGCUAACUACGUGCCAGCAGCCGCGGUAAUACGUAGGUGGCAAGCGUUGUCCGGAUUUAUUGGGCGUAAAGCGAGCGCAGGCGGUUUUUUAAGUCUGAUGUGAAAGCCUUCGGCUCAACCGAAGAAGUGCAUCGGAAACUGGGAAACUUGAGUGCAGAAGAGGACAGUGGAACUCCAUGUGUAGCGGUGAAAUGCGUAGAUAUAUGGAAGAACACCAGUGGCGAAGGCGGCUGUCUGGUCUGUAACUGACGCUGAGGCUCGAAAGUAUGGGUAGCAAACAGGAUUAGAUACCCUGGUAGUCCAUACCGUAAACGAUGAAUGCUAAGUGUUGGAGGGUUUCCGCCCUUCAGUGCUGCAGCUAACGCAUUAAGCAUUCCGCCUGGGGAGUACGGCCGCAAGGCUGAAACUCAAAGGAAUUGACGGGGGCCCGCACAAGCGGUGGAGCAUGUGGGUUUAAU
rnacentral:rRNA from 2 species